CCUUUCUCUGCCAGAGAAGAGCGAAAGAGGUCUGUGGCUUGGGUUUCAAAGUUCAUCUGAGGGAAUUUACAAGGUAUCCUCUAACUACAAUGAUCCAAUAUCGGCAUGAAUUGCCACUUGACCCUUCCAAACUUCUAAAUAUUAUUCAUGUCAACCAUUCUAGAAUAAGUCACUCUGAAUGAAAUGAUACGGGCAUGUGUUUAACACAAAAAGAAUUUUAACAUUAACUAUAAUUCAGGAAGCUGAACUCAAUUACCUGCCGGAAGAAAACUGCCCAGUAUUCGAAAAUUAACAAAAUUACACAAGCUGUAUAUAUACCUACAAGACUAUAAUGGUAAGGGCCUAAUUGGCAUGGGGAGAGCUCUCUGGUGGCUUGUUUCCAUAGAGCCUUCUCAUCCAUUUCUGCUGUGAUGUAGUGAACCGUGUAUGAAGUGUAGAAGCUCCUUUUCCUGGAAGUUCAGCAGGGAGUGCAGCAGCAGUGCUUGUAAAGGCAUUUAGAACCAGGAAAGCUAGAAUCGGAGAAAGAUCCAGUGUCCCUCCCAGUGGUGGGAUGAUUCCACGGAAUAUGUUCAGGUAUGGAUCACACAAAGUGCUGAAUUCACAUUUACAUUAAAAACAUAUAUAAAUAUUCAAAUAGAAAAUGUACUUGACAAGAAAAGGCAAUCAUUCAUCUUGUUGAAUAAUCAAAUGCAUUGGACCAACUUCAAUUCUUAUCAAGAUUUUUAGAUUUUCCAUUGUUGAAUGUGAGAUAUGUACAAUGCUUCUAGAGCUCUUCAUCAUCAUCAUAUCAAAUCAAAAGGGGAAAGAUUUUAAUUUAUCAAUGAAUCAUAUACAGUACUAGUCUUGGAUCAUGACAAGUUCAAUAUCUUAGAAAAAUUUCAACGAGUUUAGGAAAUGCACCUGAG
rnacentral:lncRNA from 1 species